GGAAAGAUGCUCGAGUGGUUGAAGAGGCACGCCUGGAAAGCGUGUAUACCCCCUAAAGGGUAUCGGGGGUUCGAAUCCCUCUCUCUCCG
rnacentral:tRNA from 1 species